UGACCUGUCCCAGGUGAUGCAGUAGUGGUGUCAGAAUAGGUCUCCAAUCGGCUUACCAAAUGAGAGCUUUGUUUGCACUAUGGUAACCUUAAGCAAGAGCGUUUAUAAGUUAUAAAGUGCAGUACACAUUCUGAUUGUUAACUCUAGAUGAAGAGUAAGUGGGUGUUCAUUUUACUCUUUAAAUUUUCCUAUGUAUUUAAACUUUUUUUUUUUUUUUUUUUUUUUGGCCUGUCCACAUGGCAUGUGGGAUCUGGGAUCUUAGUUUCCCCGACCAGGGAUGGAACCUGUACCCCCUGCAGUGGAAGUGGGGUCUUAACCAUGGACCACCAGGUAAGCCCCAGCAUCUUACAAUUUAAAAAAUUGAAAAAAAAUUUUUUUGUUCUACCAGUGUUUAUAUGGACCCUAUUAGGAGGCUCGCCUUGAGCAUACAGUCCCUGACAGCCAAAGGCAACUGCUUUCCCUUCCCCGCACCCUUUGAGGUUCGGUUUACAUAAUCCUGCCCCCACUCCCAACUCCCACCUCCCACCCCUGACAGAGCUGACCCCUCUUGCCUGGUGCUCCGGUCAUUCCUGUUCACCACCUUGCAUUGAAACUGUUUAUGAGUUUGGAAGCUGCCCGGAGUGGUGAGGAGAUAUGGGAAUCCAAGAUCUAGGACCUGUGUGACCUGGGCAAAUUACUCGACCUCUCUGAAUUUGUUUUCCUGUCUGUCAAACGGGUCGUUUCUGGAAUUCAAUGAGAUGAUUGCAAGCGCGCCUGGCACCGUGGGAGAAGUGCCAGCUUCAUUUUUUGGUGUCCAGCGCCUGGCACGUCGUGGGCGGUGUCUACAGAGGUGGACAGGAGAUCUCUGCCCCGCACUGCCAUCACCUCCAGGACCCCUUCUGCCCAAACCCCGCGCUUGGGGCAGGAGAGGUUUGUCUGCGGGAAGAACGGCCCCAGGAUAAAGGGGAAGUGUCUGCGCAGGGCAAUGACAGGCGGGCAGGCGCUGGGGUGGAGACCCCCCCGGCACACCAUCCCUGCCGGGACCCCGUGGGGCCUGCCGGAGGGAGGGAAAAGUCCGAGAUGCGCGACCCACCCCGGGGUCUGUACCCGCGGCGUCGGCGUUUGUGCGAUGACUCUCUGAACUACGUCUCCCAGGAGGCUCCGGGAGUAUGGAGAGCCAAUCGGAGGGCGGGUGGGCGGGACCUCCGGCACCUACGUCUGCUAGGGGGCACUGGGCUGAGCCGCCGUUGAUAAGAUUGGCAACCGCAGUGGCCUAUAGCUGCUUCCCGCCCGAGCGGCCGCACUCCAGGCGCUGAGAAGGAGCGGCCGAAGCUGCUGGUAUCCCGGACACAGCGCUGGAAAGUGGAGUCAGCGCGGCACGGGAACACCCCAACUCGCGGUAUUCGGCGCCACGGGGCUGCACUGGGGCCGUAGAUCUCCAGUCUUCCGCCCCUGACAAGCCUAUAGAUCAUUCAUGUUUUACGGCGAAUAUUUACCAAGUGCCUACUGUGGACCUCUUACUGUGUCAGCAGCGGCGAGGGUGGUCACGGCAGGCAGUAUCCCUGCCACAAGGAGAUAACCUGGGGAGGAGAGAGGUGGGUAAACGGUAAUUUCCAGUCCUGGUAAGAGCUGUGAAAUUGAACCCAACACCAGCACUGCCGUCUUCUCGGUUUUCAAACGCUACCCCUAGGAACCCUAGAGUGCAGGUUCUUAAACUACUCUGUAUCAUGAUUCUUUUUGAAAAAUCUAGUGAUAUGUUUAUGAACCAUAAGGGAAGUGUUUUUUGUUUUGGGGGGUUUUGUUUGUUUUUUGGCAGCGCCACGCGUCUUGCGGUAUCUUAGUUCCCCUACUAGGGACUGAGCCCAGGCCGGCAGUGAAAGCCCAGAGUUGCCAACCACUGGACCGCCAGGGAAUUCCCUUUUAUUUGUUUUUCUUGUGUGUGUGUCCAGAAAAAAGCACAUGCAUCUACAGUUCUACAGUUUCGUAUAUCAUUUCAGGGGGUUCAUGGACUUUCUGAAGUCCACCUGGAGAAAUCUAGCAGGGGUCUUUCGACAGAUACUCCUCCCCCCAACCCCCCGCCCACGUCAGCUAGAGCAGCUCCUGCUUUUUAUUUUAUUUUUAAAUUUAUGUAUGUAUUUAUUUUUGUCUGCCUUCAGUCUUCGUUGCUGCACAACGGCUUUCUCUAGUUGCAUGGAGCGGGGUCUACUCUUCAUUGCGGUGCACGCACUUCUCAUUGCAGUGGCUUCUCUUCGUUGCGGAGCAUGGCCUCUAGGCGCACGGGCUGCAGUAGUUGUGGCACGCAGGCUCAGUAGUUGUUGCACACGGGCUUAGUUGCUCCGUGGCAUGUGGGAUCUUCCCAGACCAGGGGUGGAACACGUGUGCCCUGGCAUUGGCAGGCAGGUUCUUAACCACUGUGCCACCAGGGAAGUCCAGCCCCUGCUUUUUAACUGUUUUACAUAUUUCACCCUCAAGAAAGAUUUCCUUUGAUCUAAAUCUACUGCAAGAGAAAAAGAAAAAGAAGGAAUACCCAAAUAGAUGGUCUAGCUGUAAUUCUAGUUCCAACAUUCUGUUUGUUUAAGUCCUUCCCAUCAAGACUACUUUCUAGUCUCAGGUAAACAUAACCAGACUGAAUUCACCAGCAUGGUGGUGUGAAGGGCACCUUCUCAUUCAGAUCUUUGUCAUUCUUCCGGAACAUUCCCCUGCGUACCACACUUGCCAAUUAGUUUGAAACUGUAAACAAUUUUUUUUCUGUUUUGGCUGCCUGGCUUGCGGGAUCUUAGUUCCCCCACCAGGGAUUGAACCUGGGCUGGGCAGUGAAAGCGACGUGCCCUAACCACUUGACUGACAGGGAAUUACCAGAAACUGUAAAUAAUUUAAAUGGCUAUCACCUGGAGACUGGCUUAGUAAGUUUUGGUGAAUCCAUCCUGUGUGCUGCGCUGCAUCCCUUGAAAACAGUGCAGUGGAUUUCCAUGUGUUAAUGUGCAAAGAUGGUCAAUAUAUAUUAUUAAAUGAGAAGAGCACGUUUACCGUACAGUGUGAUAGUAUAAUCCCAUGUUUGUAAAUAAUGGGAAAAAUAUUUUUUAAUUUAAAUAUCUGAAGAUAGACUCAAGGAAUAAUGUGGCAACCUCUAUAGAGUAGAAUUGGAGGUGGGGGUUGUGCUUUUUUCUCUAUGUCCUCUAUACAUUUGUGUGGUUUUCAAUGAGUAAACAUUUUAUGACACAUG
rnacentral:lncRNA from 1 species